rnacentral:lncRNA from 1 species
GUUUUAGGUUUGCAGCCCUAUAAACGUCAUAGAAUGAAACAAAUGUCACGAGCUGAUUUUGCUAAUUGUUUUUAUUGCUCUUACCUAAGCUGCUCAAAGAACUACAUGCUAGAAAUGAAUAAAUAACAGAACAACAGGGGCCCUUGUAAAUUGCUAGAAAAUUGAGGCCAAGCUAGAUAGGUUGUUAAAUGUGUAUUUGUGUUUAUUUUGCAUGUUUUUCUUUUUAAAUACAAACAGCUGGUGGGGAGGGAGCUGAUAAUUAUUAUGAUUUUAGCAGGCAAGGAAGGGGAGUUUGAUCCUUCCCUCUUCUGCUCUUCUGUCAAAAAUCAAAAAUUGCUCGUUUCAAAUUGCUGUUUGUAUUGGAAGGAAAGCUCCCCCUAUACAGCUAACCAGCAGAGGGAGCUGUUGCGCUGCUCUCUGCUGCACUUCCACCUGCAGUGGUCAGGAAAGGGUACUGCAGUGUAAUAAUUCAGCAGAUGUCCGGUGACACAACGGACCAAUAAGGUUUCAGCUGUUCCCUCCAUUUUUGGUCCUUAAAAGUUUUGUUUUGCAGAAAAGGCACAACAACCCAAACUGAAAUAAGCCAGGCAGAACAAUAAAGGUAAUGGGACCCCUGACCAUUAGGUCCAGUCAUGGACGACUCGGUGGUUGCGGCGCUCAUCUCGCUUUAUUGGCCGAGGGAGCCGGCGUACAGCUUCCGGGUCAUGUGGCCAGCAUGACUAAGCCGCUUCUGGCGAACCAGAGCAGUGCACGGAAACACCAUUUACCUUCCCACUGGAGCGGUACCUAUUUAUCUACUUGCACUGGCGUGCUUUCAAACUGCUAGGUUGGUAGGAGCAGGGACCGAGCAACGGGAGCUCACCCCGUCGCGGGGAUUCGAACCGCCGACCUUCUGAUCGGCAAGUCCUAGACUCUGUGGUUUAACCCACAGCGCCACCCGCAUCCCUACAGCGCCACCCGCAUAACAAUGGUGUGGUGUAAAUAUGCAAGCUUCAGAUACAGUAGCCACAAGGAUUUCCUAAGUCUUGCCACAAGGCUCAACGAAAGCUAAUAAAUCUCUGCCAUUUUAUCCCCCUUCCAGAUUGUGUUCCCCAGGAGCGGACAGGAAAACGUCUCAAAUGAGUCCCAAAGUAACAGCGGGUCAGCCGGGCUCGUUUCACCUGUUCCCUUUUGCAGAACAAAAGGAAACAAAAUACAGUUAUAAGAACACAGAAUGCAAUGAUCAGAAACAAUUAAAAUGCAGGGGGAACUUUUCCUUCUGGCCCAGGGGAGAAUGAAACAAGUGCAAUAAAAGCAGCAAGACCCUAGGGUUUGUUUAAAGCACUGGUUUGAUUAUACAAGGGCAAACAAAAUGAUCUUUACGUGGUGCCAAAAAGACCACAAAGGAAGUGCCGCGAGGGAGGCUAUUCAAUCACCUGGGUAUUCAAUCAUCAAGGAGGCGACCUGCCUCACAAUUUAUGUGAGAGUUUCUAAAUAUUUAAGGUCCAAGGCUGAACGUCUUCCAGAAAUGGGAGACCUAUGUGUUCAAACUGUCCUUUACGACUUGGGGAUUUAACUAGGAAAAGAUAAGGAACUUCUAAUUAAUUUUGAUCAAAUAAGAAGGGUAUUUUACUGCAGGAGGAGGUUGCUUGCUUCUGUCACCUAAUGUAAGACUUUUUUUUUUAAAAAAAAAAAGCUAGGUUAUUCAGCUCUGUGUUGUGUUCUUUUGUCGCUUCCAAAUGGCUAAAGUCGGUAAAAAGAUUUUAAUGCUAAGUCAAGACAUGGAAUUUACUUUAUAUCCUCUGCCUGCUCUGUUAUCAUAAUGAAAUGAAACACCUACUGCGUGAACAAAGCAACACAAGGAGAGUUUCUUUUCAUUAUUUUGUAUUAACAGUGGCUGGCAUGUUCUGUGCUUUGAAAAGUACCUUUUAGUUGGCCUUUUUACCAUCACCUUACAGAAUUCAAAUGGGCAUCCGUACCUGUAUCUUUCAUGAAAGAUGCAAUUAUUGACUGAUAGGUAAAGGUAAAGGGCCCCUUCUUUUACCUUUUUGUUGACUCCCACAGCAACAGAAAUCAGUUAGGGACAUUCAUAGUUUUUACAGCAGCGGAUGGCAAUCUUGAUACAGUUGUGAGAGACGUAGAAGGAAAACAAAAUUGAGAUACUAUUAUCUUAGCACUUACAUGAUUUCCAUCGCCUCCUUUUUCCAACCAAAAAAGUACAGCCAUUUUCUCUCGCUGAGAUCAAGUGGAUCCUUCAUGUUAGAUCCAUAGCACUCACUGUAUUUUGUUCUUGGUUUUGUGAAAGAUGGAUCCUGUAGUUCUUUUAAGACACCAAAGUACUUCUUAAACAUUCAAAAGGCUCUUAAACUAGGCCUGAAUAGAUGGAAAUUAGAAUUUAGCCUAGCAUUGGGUUCUGUUAGGGUUGUUCAAUGAAAAUUGCUUGUUGUUGUUUAGUCAUUUAGUCGUGUCCGACUGUUCGUGACCCCAUGGACCAGAGCACGCCAUGAGAGCUGGACCAUAAAGAAGGCUGAUCGCCGAAGAAUUGAUGCUUUUGAAUUAUGGUGCUGAAGGAGACUCUUGAGAGUCCCAUGGAUGGCAAGAACAUCAAACCUCUCCAUUCUUAAGGAAAUCAGCCCUGAGUGCUCACUGGAAGGACAGAUCCUGAAGCUGAGGCUCCAAUACUUUGGCCACCUCAUGAGAAGAGAAGACUCCCUGGAAAAGACCCUGAUGUUGGGAAAAUUGCUUAUUAACUAUUAUAUUUCUUCCAAAUUAAAAUAAUUUUAAGUUGCAAC